rnacentral:rRNA from 1 species
UACGAAGGGGGCUAGCGUUGCUCGGAAUCACUGGGCGUAAAGCGCACGUAGGCGGCUUUCUAAGUCAGGGGUGAAAUCCUGGAGCUCAACUCCAGAACUGCCUUUGAUACUGGGAAGCUCGAGUCCGGAAGAGGUGAGUGGAACUCCGAGUGUAGAGGUGAAAUGCGCAGAUAUCGGGAGGAACACCAAUUGCGAAGGCAGCUCGCUGGGACGUCGACUGACGCUGAGACGCGAAAGCGUGGGGAGC